CGCACGCGCACGCACACGCGUCCCUCCCCACGCGAGCCCUGGGCCGUGCUGUCCAGAGUGCGAGGUCUCCUCAGCUCCUGGCUCCCAGCUCUUGGACCUCUCAGCUUCCAGAAACACGUGUAACUGAGGUUCUCAGAAAGUUAAAACAACCAGGCAUAUCGGUGCACAUCUGUACUCACAGCACUGGGGAGGCUGAGGCAAGAGAAAUGCCACGAAAUUAAGGCCAUCCUGGACCAUAUAACAAGACCCUGUCUCAACCACCCCCA
rnacentral:lncRNA from 1 species